UACGUAGGGGGCAAGCGUUGUCCGGAUUAUUGGGCGUAAAGAGCGUGUAGGCGGCCAGACAGGUCCGUUGUGAAACUCAAGGCUCAACCUCGAGACGCCGAUGGAAACCGUCUGGCUAGAGUCCGGAAGAGGAGAGUGGAAUUCCCGGUGUAGCGGUGAAAUGCGCAGAUAUCGGGAAGAACACCGGUGGCGAAGGCGGCGAUCUGGACGAUGACUGACGCUGAGACGCGAAAGCGUGGGAGCAAACAGG
rnacentral:rRNA from 1 species